AGAUAAGCGGCACACUUUUGAAUCAAGUAUAUUGAGUUCAUGUCAGAACAAUCAGAGCGUAAACAAAAUAUGCGAAUAAUACCCAAUUACGUGUUUCGCUAAUGAGACAAUGUACCUUACCAAGAAAAAUGUCAAACAAUAUCAUUAAAAUCAAACGUAAAAACUGUGCACGCGCAACUUAUUUAUAAACAUGCUUGGAAUAUUUACUAUGUAAAAAGUCGAGGAAUUGCAACUGGAUGCAAACAAUGUGCUGUCAGCUAAAUAAAAACUAAAAACAAAAUAGCAGCAACAACUUGCGAGUUAGAAAAACUUUUCACGGACCUAUCCCAAUGCUCAGCAUAGAGAAACAAAAAUAAAAAAUCGAGAAAACGUGCAAAGAAUGAUAUGCAAGCGAUCAACGACUGCGAUAUACCCGAUAUGUAAAGUUUUAGUCGCCCGAGGCGUGUGCAAACGUGUGGAAGCCAAAGAAAAUUGUGGAAAAGCCCAAGGAAAACGGGAGAAAAACCCCAGCAUACUUACAUUAAAAUUUGGCUGUCAUAAUCAACACACGUAUUAAAUUCUGGAAAUUGGCAAACUCAUAAAUGUGCAAUUAAACAAAUUUCGAAGGAAAUGAGCGCAAUUUUCAAAUCGUUUUCAUUGUGCAAUGCGUGAAAAUUGAUUAUAUAAGAGACGCAUUAAAGGAAAACUCAGUGGAAAGCAUUUCCGCAAAGUCAAUGGCCAGCGGAAAGUGAAAAGCCGGCAAAACACAGGAAAAUUUAAAGAAAACUCAAUUUCGCACGGGUUAAUUUUUUUUGGCAGCUGAAUUUUGACAGGCAAAAAGCAAAGUAAAAGCAAAAGCAAAAGCAAAAGCAAAGUAAAAGCAAAAGCAAAAACUAUUGCAACAAAUUGUAUAAAAAGCCAGACAAAGAGCGCAGAUAACAAGAGACA